CGGACGGGUGAGUAAUGCUUGGGAAUCUGGCUUAUGGAGGGGGAUAACUGUGGGAAACUGCAGCUAAUACCGCGUAUUCUCUGAGGAGGAAAGGGUGGGACCUUAGGGCCACCUGCCAUAAGAUGAGCCCAAGUGGGAUUAGGUAGUUGGUGGGGUAAAGGCCUACCAAGCCUGCGAUCUCUAGCUGGUCUGAGAGGAUGACCAGCCACACUGGAACUGAGACACGGUCCAGACUCCUACGGGAGGCAGCAGUGGGGAAUAUUGCGCAAUGGGGGGAACCCUGACGCAGCCACGCCGCGUGAAUGAAGAAGGCCUUCGGGUUGUAAAGUUCUUUCGGUAAUGAGGAAGGGAUGUUGUUAAAUAGAUAGCAUCAUUGACGUUAAUUACAGAAGAAGCACCGGCUAACUCCGUGCCAGCAGCCGCGGUAAUACGGAGGGUGCGAGCGUUAAUCGGAAUAACUGGGCGUAAAGGGCACGCAGGCGGACUUUUAAGUGAGAUGUGAAAUCCCCGAGCUUAACUUGGGAACUGCAUUUCAGACUGGGAGUCUAGAGUACUUUAGGGAGGGGUAGAAUUCCACGUGUAGCGGUGAAAUGCGUAGAGAUGUGGAGGAAUACCGAAGGCGAAGGCAGCCCCUUGGGAAUGUACUGACGCUCAUGUGCGAAAGCGUGGGGAGCAAACAGGAUUAGAUACCCUGGUAGUCCACGCUGUAAACGCUGUCGAUUUGGGGAUUGGGCUAUAUGCUUGGUGCCCGAAGCUAACGUGAUAA
rnacentral:rRNA from 1 species